GAAUACGAGAGUCAGCCUCAGCUGGAAGGUAGCUGAGCUUUGGGUGGAUGGCUGUCUUGGGCUGGACAGGUGCAUCCAGGUUCCCUCCUUACUGUGGCAAGACGGCUGGCUGCUCAAGUUCUCAGCUUCCCGAGGGUGGACCCAAUGGUGUAAUCACAAGAGGCCUCUGCGAGGAGCCAGGAGGGUCAGAGGAGGAGGCAUGAAGAUGGAAGAAGGUUGGAGUAGGGCGCCUUGACGGUGGAGG